AUUGAACGCUGGCGGCAGGCUUAACACAUGCAAGUCGAACGAGAGUGGGGCGCGUGUGAAUUGUAUGGGAAACUGCCCGCUGGAGGGGGGGAACUACUGGAGACGGUAGCUCAUACCGCAUACCCUCGGAUGUGCCCAGAUGGGAUUAGCUUGUGGGUGAGGUAACGGCUCACCUAGGCGACGAUCCCUAGCUGGUCUGAGAGGAUGAGCAGCCACACUGGAACUGAGACACGGUCCAGACUCCUACGGGAGGCAGCAGUGGGGAAUAUUGGACAAUGGGCGCAAGCCUGAUCCAGCCAUACCGCGUGUGUGAAGAAGGCCUUCGGGUUGUAAAGUCCUUUUGUUGGGAAAGCGGUACCCGAAGAAUAAGCACCGGCUAACUACGUGCCAGCAGCCGCGGUAAUUC
rnacentral:rRNA from 1 species